rnacentral:lncRNA from 1 species
UUUACUCCACGACCUAGACCAGUUCAUCCACUAACUCGUCCCGCUGCAUCAAGGCAUAAGGCUUUGCAACCCCUACCUAGAGUUAGCGUUUUCCGUUAGAUCAAGGCCUAAGGCUUUUCAACCCGUACCUCGACCUAACGUUGUGUUAGACCGGACUAGUCAAACAUCAGAGUUCUCAUGAAGCGCAUAUAAAACAAUUACUUUUAUUGAUUUAAGAAAUAUUCAUACAUUGUAUAAUUCAAGACUGGGCCCGACCUAAUGCCAAAUCGAGUCAACAUAACACAAUUCACAAUACCGUUUACAAAAGGCAUGAAAAUCUACACCGGCGGUCCUAAUGUCCAGCACCAAGCUAUCCGAUCAUCCUUACCUAAAGCGACCUGCAAAAAGGACAACGGAGUUGGAUGAGUAAUCUAGUAUUACUCAGUGAGCUGGCGGCCUCUACCCACAACCUAGACUCUACCCAGACAACCCAAAAUAACAAUCAAUCUAGCCCUAGCAUGCAAUAAACGCUAAGGCUAAGCAAACCGUUACUAAGUUAGACUUGGCCUCCUGCCAUGAUCUAGCCUCAAUUAACGGGAACCUGCAUUAAAACAAGUCAACAAACAAUCCCUAGUUAACCAUAUAUACGCCUGAGUUCAAUACUCAUGUAGUGUUAGACACUUAGACUAUGCAAGUAUCAUUAAUCGAUCGACCAACAAUAAAACAAGAACAUGAUCGGCCAACCAAUGAUACCGCAUAGCUUUAAUAUCCACCACCCUUCACAAGCAAUCACUCAAACACAUACAGGCCAACGUCAGGCCUACACUAACGAAAUACACAUCAAGCCUAAUCCGGUACCUAAACCAGACUUAGGACUUAAUGUCAUAACCUGCAAGCAAAUCAAUCAACCACAAUCACAAUAAUAACUAUGAGUAUCACGACUCGAUCUAACUAGUAACACCGUAUAUCGGUGCUACACUGACUCGAGGGUUCCAUAACCCUCUACGACACUCUAACACAACACAACACACUACCCCCGGAAAUGGUGACUUAGUGUUCAUCCUCUCUAUUGGCAAUAUCCUAUCUUCCUACCACAAAGGCCAGAAGAAGGAACUUUCAACCGACCGCGGCCCACAGUCCUUCGGGUCACCGCGCGACAGCCCACAGUCCUUCGGGUCACUGCCACAUUACACCGUCGUGUAAUCAGUCAGCCAUAGGCCAUGAUCCCGUCUCUCUGAGUCUUCCCGAUCCAGCGAAUAAGGGGUUUCCUUAAACCCGCUGGGUACGAGGCUGAGGAAACACUAAUCACCCCUAAACAAGCCUAGUAUGGACGAGUUACACUCAUACUGUCGGCACACUCACAUAACACAAACUCAAUCUAGAACCUAACAUAAUGAUAAAGUUCUAGACACUAACCAGACACUCGACUCUACAACACAAACCAAUAGUACCAGUAGUCCGGCCUAUAUGGCUUAAGACCCUGAGUACUAAUAACUAAACAAUAAUAUCGAUACUAAACAACUCAAUCAAACCGUUACCCAGAUAGUCCAGCCUCCCGCUGAGAAACUAUUUUUAAAGAUAACGGGAACCUGCACUCAACCAUAUCAACACGCAAGAAUAGAAAACAUGAUGCAUCCUAUUCUUAGUCCUAAUCAGGUUAUCAACUCAGUCUUAAUUCCAUUCAUCUCAGCUUAGCCCUUGCUAAACUGAGUACGGUUCCAUGAAUAAAAUAACCCUAAGGACUCUACCAUUCAAUAGUGUGAUCAUUCUACUCUAUAUGCGACUCGAUCUACCCUAAAUUCCAAGUGGAAUUCAAACAAACCAACUCACAGUGUUCUUGCAGCUGGUUGAUCGGAGAGAGCCUAGCCAAAACCCAAUGCCUCUGUCUUCAAUGGACUGGUAUGGACGAAUCAGGACUUGGACAGAACCUCCUCGGACUUCUGGAUCUUCUUCUCGGACUUUCGGUAGAACAAUGGCUCUUAAAAAUGCUCUAACUUCUUCAAAACAGCUCCAAAUCCUUCACUUCCUUUUUCUACUUCACUUUCUCUCUCUAGCCCAAGUUUUAGAGUGAUGUUUGAGUGUGUGGAAUGAAUGAAACGAGCUGGGGGAGCUGGGUUUAUAUAGAUAUGGCCAACCAUUGAAAUGGUGCCACUCCAUCGCCUGUGUGUCAUCCCGCAUGCUUCCGGUCGCAUGCGCGGCGACACACGGGCGUCCAAAUGUCACCAUGCAUGACUCCUCUGCAUGCCAGAAGCCAGCACCACGUCCAGAUGUCAUUCAGCAUGGCUGGAGCUCAUGCAUCGCGACACACGGGCCUCUGGGUGUCAAGACGAUGCCAUGUCGUGCUUUGGGUGUCAUGCUGCAUGUGAGGCUUCUUCCUGCGGAGACAUGUCGUGCUACAGAGACACUAAGAUGCUUGGAUGAAGGACAGCACGUCCUGAUCCCUCAGAUAGGGCCACCUCGAGCUUCCCGGUUGAUUUGUGCGAUUUCGGUCUUUCUGGUGAAUUUUCGUCCCGCGAUCAAUCCCGAAUAUUUUUCCGCUCCCGUUCUGAUUCUCUAAAUAUUUUUAAUAAACUCCAGAUGAAUACUGAGAUCCUCUAAAAAUAUUUCCCGAGCCUCCGGCUUUUUCCAAUAAUUUCGAAAAACCGAAAUUAGGGAGCUUUUUCUAAUAAUUUCGAAAAACCGAAAUUAGGGUUUUCGACCAACUUCGGGUUUUCCCGUCAUGCUUGCUUCCCGUCCUGCUUACUCCCGUCAUGCUUCCAAAUUAUAAUAUCUCUGAAAUAAUAUUCUGAUGAUAGAUGUGAAGUUUCGCGGAAAACUUAGUGGCUAAGAAAUGUCGUGUUUCUGAAACGUCGAGCUUCAACCGUCGUGCUUCCAAAAAUGUGAUUCUUCCAAAAUCUUCGUCUGAUCAAUCUAAGACUCUUCUAAGAAAGGUAGAGCAGCUUAAUAUGUCUCAUGGUUCACUCACGAUCCAUUCUUCGACCACAUCCUACUUCGAACUUCUCGGUUGGCCCGUACCGCCCGCGGUUCGAUCAUCAAGUUGAUGCUCGACCAAUCUUCUGUCUUCUCCGAACCAUGUUAAGUUUUGUGUGAUCAAAACUCAACAUUACUCCAAAUAUGUAAUCUCCCAAAAGCUUGGCUCCAGAUUCUGACUUUCCCUUGCUCGAUCAUUUUAUCCCGAAGGGCGGGUUAUCACAUUCUUCCCCCCUUAAUAGAAUUCGUCCUCGAAUUCUUAGUUGUCCAAUGGCUCAGCUUCACGACAUGUUCAUCCCCUUGAUGAAAAUUUCUCCUUGGAUCACUUGUCUCGCGGUCUUGAUCACUUGAUGUGCUUCUUUAUCGGUUUGCCCUUGGUUUCCUCCAUUCGGUUUCUCUGGUCUCCACCCAAACUUCUGGUUCUGAACUCACUCCGUCUUGAUACAUCUCAAAGCAUUCCUUUAGUCUUGAAUCCGUCCUUCACUUCUUGAUUUCCCAUGCUUCACUCAUUCUUAACUCAUCUCCAUAUCGCUUUACUCUCAUGCGGAAUUCAUCUUCAUAUUGCUUCACCGUAUCUACUGCUCUCCCAUGAGUCUCCUUCUCAAAGUUGCCACAAAACUCCUCACUUGAUGAAUACUGAAUCGUCUUCUUGCAUUUACUCUACCAUAAGGCGCACCAUCUUUGCUUCUGAUCACUGAAACCUUUCUUUUCCCAAAACUGAUGAAGUCCUUUCUCAACGAAGUCUUGCUCAUACUUGUCCAGUCCAUACCACUGUCCAGUCCCUCUGAAUCUCUCUCUCUUCACUUUGGGUUUUUAGCCUUGAACUCUUUUCACUUUAAGGUUUCCAUUCCUUAAAGUUCCGAUCAACGAACACACAAGCUGCAACUCAAAAGAACACUUCACAUGCAAGUUAGUAGACAAUUAAUCAAAUAAUCUACUAACCCAGCAAAUACUAACAAUUCAACCUAACCGCAAUUCUAACCAGAAACCUAACAGUUCUACCCAAGCAACCUAACAGUUCUAGAUUCCACUAUCUCAAUCCUAAUUCCUAAAACCACAAAUCCUAUCGCUGGACGUGACCGGUUUCCCUAAUGCCUUUUGUGACUCAAUUUGACUUGAUAAAUAUUUAAAACCGAUUAAAUCAUGAGUUCCGGAAGCAUGGACGAAACCAUGCUCUGAUACCACCUCUGUAACACCCCCGAACCGUCCUAGACAUAUGGUCGAUCAACCGGCCAACAAUCAAACAAGAACAUGACCGAUCGACCGUCCAAUACCCAGGGUUGGAGGUGAAAGGCCAACCGGCCAGCCAACAAUCAAACAAGAACAUGACUGACCGUCCAACCCAACACCAUGGUCCGGAAGCGCUACGUGACGGGCUAGGGACAAUCCGGUCAGAGUCACAAACUUUACUCCACGACCUAGACCAGUUCAUCCACUAACUCGUCCCGCUGCGUCAAGGCAUAAGGCUUUGCAACCCGUACCUAGAGUUAGCGUUUUCCGUUAGAUCAAGGCCUAAGGCUUUUCAACCCGUACCUCGACCUAACGUUGUGUUAGACCGAACUAGUCAAAUAUCAGAGUACUCAUGAAGCGCAUAUAAAACAAUUACUUUUAUUGAUUCAAGAAAUAUUCAUACAUUGAAUAAUUCAAGACUGGGCCCGGCCUAAUGCCAAAUCAAGUCAACAUAACACAAUUCACAAUACCGUUUACAAAAGGCAUGAAAAUCUACACCGGCGGUCCUAACGUCCAGCACCAAGCUAUCCGAUCAUCCUUACCUAAAGCGACCUGCAAAAAGGACAACAGAGUUGGAUGAGUAAUCUAGUAUUACUCAGUGAGCUGGCGGCCUCUACCCGCAACCUAGACUCUACCCAGACAACCCAAAAUAACAAUCAAUCUAGCCCUAGCAUGCAAAAAAAGCUAAGGCUAAGCAAACCGUUACUAAGUUAGACUUGGCCUCCUGCCAUGAUCUAGCUUCAAGUAACGGGAACCUGCAUUAAAACAGGUCAACAAACAAUCCCUAGUUAACCAUAUAUACGCCUGAGUUCAAUACUCAUGUAGUGUUAGACACUUAGACUAUGCAAGUAUCAUUAAUCGAUCGACCAACAAUCAAACAAGAACAUGAUCGGCCAACCAAUGAUACCGCAUAGCCUUAAUAUCCACCACCCUUCACAAGCAAUCACUCAAACACAUACAGGCCAACGUCAGGCCUACACUAACGAAAUACACAUCAAGCCUAAUCCGGUACCUAAACCAGACUUAAGACUUAAUGUCAUAACCUGCAAGCAAAUCAAUCAACCACAAUCACAAUAAUAACUAUGAGUAUCACGACUCGAUCUAACUAGUAACACCGUAUAUCAGUGCUACACUGACUCGAGGGUUCCAUAACCCUCUACGACACUCUAACACAACACAACACACUACCCCGGGAAAUGGUGACUUAGUGUUCAUCCUCUCUAUCGGCAAUAUCCUAUCUUCCUACCACAAAGGCCAGAAGAAGGAACUUUCAACUGACCGCGGCCCACAGUCCUUCAGGUCACCGCGCGACAGCCCACAGUCCUUCGGGUAACUGCCACAUUACACCGUCGUGUAAUCACUCAGCCAUAGGCCAUGAUCCCGUCUCUCUGAGUCUUCCCGAUCCAACGAAUAAGGGGUUUCCUUAAACCCGCUGGGUACGAGGCUGAGGAAACACUAAUCACCCCUAAACAAGCCUAGUAUGGACGGGUUACGCUCAUACUGUCGGCUACAACACACUAAUCCUAAUAAGACCAGGACUCCUACCACAAACUUAAAUACACUAAGGAGUCUAUGACACUAACACCAGUACUCGUAGUCCAGCCUAUAUGGCAUAGGGCUCGUAGUACCAACACCACAACAAGGAGAUUGGCCUAUAUGGCCAAAGAUCCCCUGAACAACAGCAACUAAACAAC